rnacentral:rRNA from 1 species
GUCAAGUAAGAAUACCCGCUGAACUUAAGCAUAUCAAUAAGCGGAGGAAAAGAAACUAACUAGGAUUCCCUUAGUAACGGCGAGUGAACUGGGAAGAGCUCAAAUUUUAAAUCACUUUGGUGAAUUGUAAUUUGAAGAAAGUGUUUUGACUUUUCAGUUUAAUCUAAAUCCUUUGGGAUGAGGUAUCAUAGAGGGUGAGAAUCCCGUUCGUGAUUAAACCUCGGAUUGCACUAAUUCACUUUCUAAGAGUCGAGUUGUUUGGGAUUGCAGCUCUAAAUGGGUGGUAAAUUUCACCUAAGGCUAAAUAUAUGCGAGAGACCGAUAGCGAACAAGUACCGUGAGGGAAAGAUGAAAAGAACUUUGAAAAGAGAGUUAAACAGUACGUGAAAUUGUUGAAAGGGAAACGAUUGAAGUCAGUCAUGCUAGUGAGAAAUCAGCUUGUGUGGUGCGAGUUUUUUCUCAAUCUUCCUUGUGUACUUUCUUGCUCGGCAGGUUAGCAUCAAUUUUGGUUGUCAUCAAAUAGUUGGGGGAAUGUGGCUUCUCUUCGGUGAAGUGUUAUAGACCCUGAUAGAUGUGUCGACUGGGAUUGAGGAUUGCAGCGGAUGCCUUUGGCUAGUCACCUAUCUUCUGACGGUCACCUCGCUUUUGACAGCUUGCUGAUGAUUGCGAGAUUUGGCAGUUUAGAAUUUAGACUGAACAUAAAUUCGCUAAGGAUGCUGACGUAAUGGCUUUAAACGACCCGUCUUGAAACACGGACCAAGGAGUCUAACAUAUGUGCGAGUGUU